GUGCUCACUUCGGCAGCACAUAUACACAAAAUUGGAACAAUACAGAGAUUAGAAAGGCCCAACCAUUAGGAUGACUUGCAAAUUGGUGAAUUGUUCCAUAUGUAU
rnacentral:snRNA from 1 species